GACGAACGCUGGCGGCGUGCCUAACACAUGCAAGUCGAGCGAGGAACUUCGGUUCCUAGCAGCGGACGGGUGAGUAACACGUGGGUAACCUGGCUCAUAGAGGUGGAUAGCCUCCCGAAAGGGAGAUUACUACCGCAUAAGAAGCGAAAGUCGCAUGGCUUUAGCUCUAAGGGAGUAAUCCGCUAUGAGAUGGGCCCGCGGCGCAUUAGCUAGUUGGUGAGGUAACGGCUCACCAAGGCGACGAUGCGUAGCCGACCUGAGAGGGUGAUCGGCCACAUUGGAACUGGGACACGGUCCAGACUCCUACGGGAGGCAGCAGUGGGGAAUAUUGCACAAUGGGCGAAAGCCUGAUGCAGCAACGCCGCGUGAGUGAUGACGGCCUUCGGAUUGUAAAGCUCUGUCUUUGGGGACGAUAAUGACGGUACCCAAGGAGGAAGCCACGGCUAACUACGUGCCAGCAGCCGCCGUAACAC
rnacentral:rRNA from 1 species